GGUGGCAAAAAAUAACUCUCAACGCUGUGUGUUCGUGCCCGUGUGCCGGGCUGCUACUUCUAAUAAUAGAGGAGGGAGUCUAACUGCUCCUUUCAGAGCCUACUUGUUGCUUACUCUAAUAAAAUAAAAUAAAAAAGUAACAAUGGUUAUCAAAGUGUUUCUCGCCACCUCAUCGGGAUCCACGGCGAUCAAGAAGAAGCAACAAGAUGUGGUGGGCUUCCUGGAAGCAUUGAAGGUGGACUACACUCAACUGGACAUUGCCUGCAAUGAGGAGAACCGCAAGUGGAUGAGGCAGAACGUACCAGAGGAGAAGAAACCCUCCAAUGGCAUCCCACUGCCCCCUCAGAUCUUCAAUGAAGAGAGCUACUGUGGGGACUAUGAGACAUUCUUUGAUGCCAAGGAAGACAACUCUGUAUAUGCCUUCCUGGGGUUGGCCCCUCCUCUUGGUUCAAAGGAAGCACUGCAGGCGGACGAGGAAGAACACAUUGUGGAGAACGGCACCGACAUCGAAGGAACCACCGAGGAGGGAACCCAAGAUGAAUCCAUAGUUCCAGAGGUAGAUCGUAAUGGGGACGUACAUGGAGACCAGGAGGACACAGAGGAAGGCGAACGUCUUGAGGAGGAAGUGGAGCCUGAAGGAAACGAAGCCACGGAAGGAGGAGAAGAUGAAGAACACGAAGAUACAGGUCAUGCAGAGGAAGAUGAAGAACAGGUUUUCUCCGGGCACUCCGGUUUCCUCCCACAUUCCCAAAACUUGCAUGGCAGGUUAAUGGAACGCUCUAAAUUCUCCCCAGGAGGAAGAGGAUUUGCGGUCAGAGGAGGAGGAGGAGCUACGGCAGCUUGAGGGAGAAGAAGAAGAAGAAGAAGACUUGGAAGUAACACAGCAGGAAGAAGAGGCUUAGUAGUUGAGCCAAGGGAACGCACGGACGCCCUCCCAUUUUUAGUUUGUCCAGCCUGAAGGAGACUCCUGUGACAACUGUCCCUGACCCCUGACCAUUGGCCACUUCGGCUCCUUUCGGCAGCAUCUUGACUCCUCCCCCAAGGCGGCGCUGCACCCGCAUUGGAACAAAGAAAACAAACCAAACAGAACACUGGUCAUGCGCUUGAAGAUGUCAAGUGACCUUUUUUUUCUCUUCUGACUGCAGCGAUGGAUUGAAUUUUUACAUUUGACAUUUAGACACUUACUGUCGGACUAACAAAAAAUAUGCAGAGUAGCAUAGCGCUACAAAUAUGACUUUUAUUUUGACAAACCCAUGUUUUACAUUUAAAGACAAAAAAUGACCCCGGCAUACAGUUUCUUCUUUCCUCAAGUUCUGUUUAGGGGUUUAGACUUCCUCCCGCUCUGAAUGUUAUUUUUCAGUUGCUUUAUCAAUGCAAUGCUGCAUGGAUAUGACAAACAAAGAUUUAUAAUGAAGACGAAAACGCAUCUUGAAACGUUACAAGCUAAUCCGUCACUGUGAUGACCUCUGGCAAAGAUUUGUUUGUCGGAAACGAUGCACUUUGUUCAAAGAAAUAUAUAACUAACACAUACAUGCAAUGGAAAAGCCAAUAAAGUGAAACUGGUUUUAAAAAAAAAAUCAUGACUAAGUGGCUAUAUUUAGUAAGUAUUUGCAUAUUUAUAGAUCAUUGAAACACUAUUCUGAGCCUGGCAGUAUUCAUGACACUGGCCAGCUCACAUUUUGGUAUCAAGAAAGCUUCAACAGUUUUAGGGUGACUUGAUCCAUCCAAAUUGGCUCUAUUUUAUUAUCAUUUUUAUAUUUGAGAUAUUUCUUUUUGCUUUAAAUGCUAGUAUGUAUUAAGCAGUAUCUGUCUUUUCAAGCAUGUGCCAACAGUAGCCGGAAAGACGUUAUCGCAGAGAGCCUUUGUCAUGCAAAUCAUUAUUCCAUAUGAAAAUCAAGCAAAAACUGUCCAAGUUAGGCAAUAUUAGCAAUAAACAACUGAUUUUUGUAAUACAAAAAACCCAAAACAAAACGGUGACAUCAAAGCAUAAAUACUACAUUUAGUCACGAUCAAUGGAUCAUUAACCGCCUCUCGUUGGCGGUUGAUUGUUGGUUAUCAUGUGGCUGUUUGCUGAUAUCUUAAUCUGUUUAUUUUUCACUCAUGAAGGGGUAUAGGUAAAUGUGGAUAUUAACUGGUUGGGUUCGGUACCUCUAAAAAGUUUAAGAACCAUUCAUCUAGAAGUACAGUAUAUAUGUAUUGACAGUGUUAAUGAAAUGAAUGUGAAAUCGCUUUACGGUGUCCCAGCGUCUCUGCCGCACAGUUCGAGGCUUGAGCUCUCAAUUGUGGCCUUCCUGUACGGAAUGUCCAAAAACGUGCUUAUUUGGUUGAAAUCAAGCCUCAAACUGUCGAUAUGUGAAUGCGAGCAUGAAUCUUGUUUGUCUCUGUUUCCUGCGCUUGAUUGGCAAACAGUCCAAGGUAUACCCCGUCUUUUGCCCAAAUUGAACUCGGCGAAGCUCCGGCUCGCCCUCCACCCUAAUGAGAACGAGCUGGAUAGAAAAUGGAUGGAUGGAUGUCAAAUUAAAAAAUCGAUAAGUAA